rnacentral:misc_RNA from 1 species
UUCGUUUUUUAAUUUAAAACUAGCAUGAAAGGUAUAACAUUUAAAUUUCUUUAUUAUAUUCAUAUAAUUAAUUUAUAUUAAAUAUAAAAAUAUAUUUAUUUUAUAAAUAGACGACAAGACCCUAUUAAAUUUUACUUAAUGUUAAGCUGGGGCAGCUGUUCAAUAAAAAUUUUUUGUUUCAUUUAUUAACUAAACUUCUAGUAUAAUUAAAUAAUAAACAAAUUACUAUAGGGAUAACAGCGUUAUAUUAUUUUUAAGCUCAUAUUUAUAAUAAUGAUUGCGACCUCGAUGUUGAAUUAUAUUUCUUUUGUAACGCAAAAGUUAAAAAAGUAGGUCUGUUCGACCUUUAAAAUAUUACAUGAUUUGAGUUCAAACCGGUGUAAGCCAGGUUGGUUUCUAUCUUUUAAUUAAAUUUUUCUAGUACGAAAGGACACAUAAAUUUUUAUUUUAUCUUAUUAGCAAACUAUUGCAUUAGAUUUAGAAUCUAAAUAAUCUAAUUCCAUU